AGGAUCAGGAAUCGUCACUCUUUGACUCUUCAAAAGAGCCACUGAAUCCAACUUGGUUGAUGAGUCCCAUAACCUUUGUACCCAGUGAGAAACCGUAUGGCGCGAUGAUCUACCCAUGGGUGGGUACAAAUGGCAGUCUGACAAGU
rnacentral:snoRNA from 1 species